ACACACUGAAAAAAAGGAAACACAGCGUCUUUGAAUUUACUAAAAUAAUGCCAGUACAUGCAACGCAAAUUUAUUCAUGUUUUUUCUGUUACUUUAAUAGAAACAAGUUAAUCCUACGUGAUUGAAAAACUGUUUCAUUUUCUUGUUUCUAUUGUGUUGCCUUUAAGUAAUUAAAUAGAAAAAGUGAACGUGAUGUAAUCAAUUUCCUUCAAAACCGGAAACGGAAAUACAUUCAAACCAAAAUGGUACGGCCCUAACUUCAGCAGAAGAAAACGUGUCUGUGGAGCGGGAACUUCAGCUGGCUUGUCCUUUCACUGCUAAUCAAGAAGCAAAAGGUGAAAAGGUCAUCUUCUGACACGUCCAACACACAGACUUGUAAGGGUUGAGGUAGUGGGAUUCAUGUGGCGUUGUAAGGGGUGCACAGAAACUAAAACAAGUAGGUCUGAGCUUUUACAGCACUAUAAAUUAAAACAUCCACAUUUUGGGCGUAGUUGUCGUUUUCCAUGUACAUACCAGCAAUGUCCUUGUACAUUUCAGACAUGGAAUGCCCUAAUUGUUCACCAAAGUAAAAUACAUUGUACACCUACCUAUCAAAAGGAUGUAAUAUUCAGCUGUCAGCAUUGUGCUUGUUGUGAUUUAACAUCAGAAAGGGAUUAUUUUGCUCAUGUAAAUGCUCAUCUCAAAAGAAAUGAGACGGUUGUUUGUAUGUUUUUAGGCUGUGACUUUAAAACAAACAUUUACUGUACUUUUAAGUCUCACAAAAACCGUAAACACAGCCAUCACACCUUGGUGGAUUUUAAACCAGGUGUUGUUCUAAGUAGAGUACCCUCUGUGAAUGAGUUAGAGACAGACAGUCAGGAACUGCUGGAUCAGUCAGAUAGUUCUAUUCCUUCAACUAGUCAUCAAACCAAGGAUUUGGAGAAGGAAAUAGAGCAAGGUUUUGCUGCUGCUUUGCUUAAGUUGGAACACCUGGUCCAUGUGCCAAGCACAGCAGUGGAUGUGUUUCUAGAGGAAAUCCACAGUUUUAUUGGUUCGACAUCUAUUCCACUAUCCUGUGAUGUGCUCCGUGACAUUUUGCAUCAGAGAAACCUUUCUGUGGAUGAAGUCACAGUUGGAGAGAUUGUUAAUGCAAUUUACUCUACCAAUCCUGUGCAGAGAUCCAUACAAAAAGGUGGCCCUUUGAGUACUGCUUAUCUACGUAAGCAGUAUUACAAGCAGAAAUUCAAUGUUAUUGAACCAGUUGAAUACAUUCUUGAUGCAAAAAACAAACACAGUUUCCAAUAUGUCCCAUUACUCAAGUCCUUAGAGCAGUUAUUGAAUAAAAAAAGAAAUCAUUGAUAAAGUUGUUGAAAGUCAACAAAGUCAGGAUGGCACACAAUCUGGAGUGUCAGGUCAGUACAUGUCAUCAAAAGAUGGUGCCCUAUUUGGAGCAAACAGUUUCCUUGCUGGAGAAAAGCCAAAGAUUAUCCUAAAUCUAUAUGUGGAUGACUUUGAGGUCUGCAACCCUCUUGGCACCUCCAGGAAGAAACACAAGCUUUGUGCUGUUUAUUGGACAUUGGCUAACCUGCCUCCUGGGUCUCAUUCCUCCUUAUCAUCCAUCUAUUUGUCAGUUUUGUGCAAAACUGACUAUGUUAAAACCUACGGUUACGACAAGGUUUUUGAGCCUCUCCUACAAAAUUUGAAAACACUGGAGGAGCAUGGUGUUUAUGUUCCCCUGUUAGGUGAGUCUCUUAAAGGCACAGUAUUCAGUGUGGUGGCCGACAACCUGGGAGCGCACCGUGUUGCAGGGUUUAUGCAGAGCUUUUCGGUGGAAUAUUAUUGCAGAUUUUGCACUGGGAAAAGCAGUGACAUUCAAGUACACUCUGUUGCAUCUGGGGCUUUCAAUCUUAGAACUAAGGAACUUCAUCAAGUUCACGUGAAACAAGCCCAGGAUACAGGGACAAGUUGUUAUGGAGUGAAAAAUGAAUGCGUCUUCACAAAAAAUCUAUCUCACUUUCAUGUCAUUUUUGGAAAUCCUCCUGAUCUUGCCCAUGAUCUUUUCGAAGGUAUCAUCCCAGUGGAGUUGGCUCAUUGUUUGAAUUUGCUUAUUUCCAAAAGGUUUUUCUCAUUGGCUGACCUAAACAAUGCUAUUCUAAGUUUUCCCUAUAAAUGGGCUGACAGGACAAACAAACCACAUGUUGUGUCACAAAGUUUCUCCAGCACGAAGACAGUGGGAGGGAAUGCACAUGAAAACUGGAGCUUGCUCCGCUUUUUGCCCUUUUUGGUUGGGUCACGUGUACCUGAACAUGAACCUGCGUGGCUUGUGCUUAUGGAUCUUAAAGAUAUCACAGAGCUUGUUGUUGCCCCUGUUCACAGUGAUGACUCAAUAGCAUUUUUGGAAAGUAAAAUAAUUGAGCACAGGCACAGACUUAAAGAACUUUUCCCUGAUUUGAGAUUGUUACCAAAACACCAUUACUUGGAGCACUAUCCGCAGAUGAUCAAGCUGUUUGGUCCAGUUGUUGGGCAAUGGACGAUGCGCUUUGAAGCUAAGCAUAGCUUUUUCAAACAGGUUAUGAGACACACAAGUUGUUUCAAGAAUGUCGCCCUUUCUUUAUCCUUAAAACAUCAGAUGAUGAUUUCUUACCAUCUGAGUGCACCACAUCUAUCUAAGCCAGACCUUGAGGUUUCAGCUGUAUCCACUCUGCCUGUGGACUUGCUCAAUGAAAACAUAGCACAAGUCAUCCAGCAAAAGUUCCCUGGCACACAUGAAGUCCACUUAGCACAGUGUGUGACAACCAAGGGCUUUACUUACAGAAAAGGGAUGUUACUGGCUCACAGAGCAGCAGGUGGAUUGCCAGAAUUUUCUGAAAUUGACCAAAUAUGCAUUGUACAUGAUUGUGUGUUCUAUGUUGUCAAAGAGCUGUUUGGUUGGUAUAGGGAGCAUUAUAGAGCCUUUGAACUCAGCCCAGCACCUAAACGAACAUUCACUCUUGUAGAAAUCUGUGACAUCCUUGAUGCAUAUCCGCUUGUUGACUACAAAGUUGGAUCAGCACGCAUGGUGGCUUUAAAAAGACAUAUAGAACUAAAAGAGUAAAAGACAUGAACAUGGCGACUAACAUCCCAAAGGCUGUGAUUCUGAAGAUUAUUUUGCCUGAUGAUAGCUGCCAGAGAUUGACUCUUUCCAGAGGACUCCCUGCAUCUAUUGAAGACCUUAUCGAUGAAGUAAAGAAACAGUGUGGACUGGAUGGCAGCCUUAAACUUCAGUUUAUGGAUUCUCUGUUUGGAAAUGAGUUCCUCAACUUGACUUCAGUUUCUGAAGUGGAAGACAAAGGUACUCUCAAAGUCAUUCGUGUGUCAAAACCCACCGCAAUGCACAGUAAGGAAAGUUCUGUUUCCAACCCACUGCAAGGAUCCAGUCCUCCCUCUACAAAUCAUUCAUUCCCGUCCAGUGGAUCUGUGGACACAGAUAUCUUGUCAUCCAGCGAGUCUUCAAGUUCACGUUCUUCUUGGCCUGCUUUUUUUCAUGUGCCAAAGUUUUCCUAUGAUGCUGAACUACAACUUCAGCAGGCAGGCUUUACUUAUGUUCAGAGUGGUACUGUGCUUAUUCCAGAUCCCAAGCUGAAGUCUGCCAUCCUUGAUGGCCUGGUGCAGGAAAUUGUGCAGUAUAAGGUCUAUGUGAGUGAUAAAGAGAUGGAUCAAGUUGCCCACAGUCUUAUCCAGAAGCAUCCAUGUUUAACUGAGAGGGGAUCCUCAACUGGAUAUGGUGGGUGGAAGACUAGUUUAAAAUAUAAACUGUCAAACUAUAGAACCCAGCUGAGAAAACUAGGUUGCCCAGAAGUGACUGUGAACACUUUAAAGAACAAACCUGCUGGAAAGCGCACUGCAGCCUUUGGGGUUAAAAAGGCUAAGAGAGCAGAGGUGAAUUUUUGCCCAAUGUAUCCAUCAGAAGAAACUGAGGACAGUCUGGAGGCCAUGCAGAAAUCUCUCCUCUUAGACAUGAAGAAGAAGAACAACCGGGACGUAGUAAAAAACAAGAUGGAACGCACGUUUGCCCAUAGAAGACAUGAAGUUGUCCGGGAUGCACCGAUGGUGAAAGAUUUCAUGGCAAGGUGGCCUGCUCUGUUUGAUGUCAUUGAGAUUAAUGCUGAAUUCAAAAGAAUCACCACGGUUCCACUACAGUCCCAGUUUAUGUCACAACUAGACAUCUACUCUGAAAACCUGACGGGUCUGUUUAAAAAAAGAGGUGGUCAACUUGGACAAAGGCUCAAAACAGUUUUAGCAGAAAUGGAUCAAUGUAAUGAUAUAGAUGCCAGACGAGAGUGCAUUAUUAAAGGAGUCUGCAUUUACAUGGGUGAAGAUCCAGAAAACCUGGUCCAGGAAUAUGAGAGCAUGGAUGAAGACUCUAUUAAUGAUGCCAUUGAGGAAACCUGCGUGGGUAUUUAUGUCCUGAAGGAACAAGCUUCGAGUGCCGAGGGUAAAGACAUUGGAGUUGUCUUGGAGGGCAUCAAGUUGCUACAGAAUCUGGAAAAUGUGCCAAUGGCCGUCGCCAUGCUGUUUGGAUUGAUGUAUGCCCUCAACCUCAGCUAUCCGCAAAACCUCCGUUACACGUUUGAGGUACUUCAAAAGAUAAUAAUGGAACUGAACGAAGGAGAACUUUCCAACAAGGUUCGUGCUCUGAAAAACAGACUCUUUCAGUGACAAUAUCAGAGGCCCCGGACAGUGAGCAGUGUCUUCAGACAUUCACCACAGAGGGUGUUAUGUCCUCACCUACCAGUAGUACUUCUUUUCCAUUGUUAAGCAUUUGUUACCACUGUUAAAUGCAUUUUGUGCAAUGUUUGAUUCUAUGGUUUAAAAGCUUUAGAUUUUAAUAACAAAACUGUUUUAAAUUCCUAUUUGUUUACAAUUCUUUAGGAGUAUUCUUUUUCCACUCAGGUAUAUUUUCAUGGCACUUAACAGUGUUUACUUUUAAGAAACAUACCUGACAAUGCACUUUGUUUUUUGUCUUGAUACAAGGUUCAACCGUCUUAAUUUAGAAGUUUAUCACAACUGUGAAUGUUCUGAAUACAGAAUUGCUUUGUGAUGCCAGUCUUUAGGUGUGAAACGGACAAAGGGUCCGGAAAACGUAGCAUUUUCUUUAGAAUUGCACUACUAAAGGUGAUAUGCCCUUAUUUGCCAGCACUACUUAAGUUCCAUAUUUAACAUUUAAUUGCAUGGUAUGCAAUAUUUUUGUGUUUUCUCAGGUAAGUUUAAAGAUUUUAAUGGAAUAACUUUUGAGAUUCUUCAUUGAUAUAUUUUUAGUUUGAUAUUUUAGAAUGCACAGUAUGCACAUAAAAAAUUGAUUUAUGUACAAUCUUAAUUGUUUGCAAUUAUGAUGAUUUUGUUUUUCCUUUGGUAUAUUUGCACUGGCAACAGUUGUUUACUUUUGAAAUACCUGACAAUGCAUUUUCCAUUUUGGUUUUACAGCUGUCUUAAUUGCUGGCAACUCAAUUUUCUGAAUACAGAAUAGUUUUGAUACCAUCUCUUUGUGUGAUUGCAAGUCAUUUGAAAUGUCAUAUCAUGUACAC